rnacentral:rRNA from 1 species
GAGUAACCUGCCCCAGGCUUUGGGAUAACCCCGGGAAACCGGGGCUAAUACCGGAUAUGACCAUCUGUCGCAUGGUGGGUGGUGGAAAGAUUUUUUGGCUUGGGAUGGGCUCGCGGCCUAUCAGCUUGUUGGUGGGGUGAUGGCCUACCAAGGCGGCGACGGGUAGCCGGCCUGAGAGGGCGACCGGCCACACUGGGACUGAGACACGGCCCAGACUCCUACGGGAGGCAGCAGUGGGGAAUCUUGCACAAUGGGCGGAAGCCUGAUGCAGCGACGCCGCGUGAGGGAUGACGGCCUUCGGGUUGUAAACCUCUUUCAGCAGGGACGAAGCGUUUGUGACGGUACCUGCAGAAGAAGCGCCGGCCAACUACGUGCCAGCAGCCGCGGUAAGACGUAGGGCGCAAGCGUUGUCCGGAUUUAUUGGGCGUAAAGAGCUCGUAGGCGGCUUGUCGCGUCGACUGUGAAAACCCGUGGCUCAACUGCGGGCUUGCAGUCGAUACGGGCAGGCUAGAGUUCGGUAGGGGAGACUGGAAUUCCUGGUGUAGCGGUGAAAUGCGCAGAUAUCAGGAGGAACACCGGUGGCGAAGGCGGGUCUCUGGGCCGAUACUGACGCUGAGGAGCGAAAGCGUGGGGAGCGAAC